AUGGGACAAUGAAGCAUGGCCUGGGUACUUGAAGCCUCAGCUCCCACAUGAUCCCACCUCCAGCACCACCCCAGGAUGCAUUCUUAGCUGCAUGUUCCCCCAUCCACACCCAGAGACCACUAUCCUCUGCUCCGAGUUUAUGACACGCACAACAAAGUGAGGAAGACAGAGAAGAGAAAACUCUGAAAUGAGACCAGAGCUGUUGCCCUGCAUACAUGGGCACGUGGACAAAGGCCAGCUGGACCUCCUGGGGAGCGCGCAUUCACUUGGAGGGGUUGAAACCAGGGCUAUCAACGUAAAGAAAUUAAUUCCACAGAGACUGAAAUGACUAUGAAAUUGGUAAGGCACAGAGUAUAGCUAAAAAUGGGUCUUAUUUUGUAUUAAAUUGCUCUAUAAGGAACCUGAAUCUCCUGUAGGCUUGGAUGAAUUCCCAUAAACUGGAUGUCCUUGUAGUUUAUUUACAUGUGCAAAGGUCAAUUUGCCUCUUGGUGAGACAAAACCAAGCAAACGGAAUUCUGUUUAAUUGAGUGAUACAGUCCAUUGAAUCUGCCAUUAGAGCACAAGUUCAUUUUAGAAACUAGCAUUGUGGAGGAGCCCUUAUGGUAUGCUCCGAGUAGGCAGAAAAUCUGUGAAGACCUGUUUUAUCCCCUUCUCUCCCAAGGAAUAUUUCCAUGAAGUUUUGGGGUUUUAUGCUGUUAAAUCUUUCUUCUUUCUAUGGUGUGGCUAUCAAUCCUGUAGCUAAGAAUGUCAUUCUAGAUAGUAAGGCUGGUCUGAGCCUUCCUGUAUCUUUUCUGACUAACUUUGGGAGCUGCCAAGGCACACAAUCCACCCUGUUUUCAACCCAAAAAAGGGCAGAAAGGUGGAAACAUGUUUUAUAACACUCUCAGCUCUUUUUAACUUGGAGGCAUGCUGACUCUCUGGCCUUGUGCCCACGGAAAGAGACAAAUGAGGCAAAGCCUGCUUUUAUUCCUGUUCCCAAUGCUCCCCCAUCUAAGAAUGACAAAAAAAUAAACUCUCCUAUUGGAAAGAGGCCCUACUUCCUUUACCAGGUCAGAAGUUUCAAAGAAAAUAAUUGUACAAAGUCCUUAAACUGAGCAUUUGUUUAUGAACAACUUGGCUGCUAUUUUCGGUCUUUACAAUGAGGAAACAAAGAAUUUGUGGAGGAGUUUGAAAAAUUGAAGUAAAGAAAGGAACUUUUGAAAGAAAGAUCCUAUGUUCACUUUCCUAUAUCGUCAGUACAUUAUAUCAAAGAGUAAAACACUUUCACUCUGUAUUUGUUUGGAAUGUUUAGCAUGGACGUCCCCGAUUUGUACUGGCCCCCCAAAAAUAUUCUUCAAUUUCAAGAAUUAUAGGAAAUUAGGUACAUGAGGAAAGCAAUGCUGUGAAGUAUGGAAUAUGGAAUAGUAUGGACUAAAACUGGAAUAUAUGAAAACGUUUGUAAGAAGUUAUUCUCCUUCAGCUGGCACAAGAGUAACGAUUGUGGGUUUCAAAGUUGUCAUGAUAGGAAAAAGGUAAAGUCAGGUAGAAAUGCUUAAUUUAUUGAUGUAUCUUCAAUAGAAUCUACUUACUUCUGAUGAUCUUUUCAGGAUUAAUUGAAUCUUACACAUUGCAGUAUAGUUUGGAGUGGACCCAGACAGACUGCUCACAAGUUGGACGAGGGAAACUGUCUUACAUUGACUUAUUUCCAUUUGAAAGAUUUCUGAGUAGAUUGGUUCUUUUUUUUUUACCUUUAAUAAUAUUGAGACUAUUUUUUUUAAAGCAGUUUAAGGUUCACAGCAAAAUGGAGGGGAAGGUACAGAGAUUUCCCAUAUACCUCCUGCCCCCACACAUGCAUAGCCUUGUCAACAUCCCCAGCCAGAGUAGUACGUUUGUUACAAUUGAUAAACCUACAUGAACACGUCAUAAUCACUCAAAGCCCAGAGUUUACAUUACAGGUCACUCUGGGUGUUGUACAUUCCAUGGGUUUGGGCAAAUGUAUGAUGAUUUGUAGCCAUCGCAGUGGUAUUAUGCAUAGUAUUUCCACGGCCCUAAAAAUCAUCUGUGCUCCACCUAUUCAUCUCUUCCCCACCUGCAACUCCAACUGGUUCUUUUUUGAGAGUUUUAUUUCUGUUGGAAGAGAUUAAAAAAAAGAAUCUCUGUUGGAACACUGACUGUAUAUGACGAACAGCAGUGUGGAUCCCCAAAAGUAUAAAAUAACCCCAAUAUAAUUUGACAUAGAUUGUAGUCUUUCUACACGCUCUGAAAUAGAAAGACUUUUUGUUCAUUCGGUUUCCACUAUGCUUGUGACUUCUAAGUACCUAUUUCCCAGUUCUUCUGGAUUUUUUCAUCUGAACGUCAAGUAUCAUAUGCCUAAACCUAUUUCCUUCUUCUCUCAACCUUCCAAAAUAACCUCUCUUUACAACCACAUUCUACAAAGAAGAUAGGAAUAGACUGUCAGUUAACUUUUUCAUCUGGUGUUAUGACCGAAUGUUUUGUGAAGAGUCUAUUAGGUUAUUAGAAAAAGGCAGUGCUGAUCUACAAUAUUAAAUAAUUUUUGGAAUUCUAUAAUGAUAUUACUGCACUCAGGGGAACAGAUGUCACAUUUUCAGAAAUUUUGAUCAUGAAAAUACAUUUUUAA